CGUGUAGGCUGCUUCGCAAGUCGGAUGUGAAAGCCCUGGGCUCAACCCAGGAAGUGCAUUCGAAACUGCAGAGCUGGAGUCCUGGAGAGGAAGGCGGAAUUCUCGGUGUAGAGGUGAAAUUCGUAGAUAUCGAGAGGAACACCGGUGGCGAAGGCGGCCUUCUGGACAGUGACUGACGCUGAGCGCGAAGCGUGGGAGCAAACA
rnacentral:rRNA from 1 species